AAUCCCCUAGGGGACGCCACUUGCUGGUUCGUGAGUGAAAGACGCGUGCCGAACUAUCUCAAAACUCAUCUUCGGGUGACGUUUGAGAUAUUUGCUCUUUAAAAAUCUGGAUCAAGCUGAAAAUUGAAACGACACACNGUCGCAAGACCAAAGUGGGGGACCUUCGGGCCUCAUGCCAUCAGAUGUGCCCAGAUGGGAUUAGCUAGUAGGUGGGGUAACGGCUCACCUAGGCGACGAUCCCUAGCUGGUCUGAGAGGAUGACCAGCCACACUGGAACUGAGACACGGUCCAGACUCCUACGGGAGGCAGCAGUGGGGAAUAUUGCACAAUGGGCGCAAGCCUGAUGCAGCCAUGCCGCGUGUGUGAAGAAGGCCUUCGGGUUGUAAAGCACUUUCAGCGGGGAGGAAGGCGUUGAGGUUAAUAACCUUGUCGAUUGACGUUACCCGCAGAAGAAGCACCGGCUAACUCCGUGCCAGCAGCCGCGGUAAUACGGAGGGUGCAAGCGUUAAUCGGAAUUACUGGGCGUAAAGCGCACGCAGGCGGUCUGUCAAGUCGGAUGUGAAAUCCCCGGGCUCAACCUGGGAACUGCAUUCGAAACUGGCAGGCUAGAGUCUUGUAGAGGGGGGUAGAAUUCCAGGUGUAGCGGUGAAAUGCGUAGAGAUCUGGAGGAAUACCGGUGGCGAAGGCGGCCCCCUGGACAAAGACUGACGCUCAGGUGCGAAAGCGUGGGGAGCAAACAGGAUUAGAUACCCUGGUAGUCCACGCCGUAAACGAUGUCGAUUUGGAGGUUGUGCCCUUGAGGCGUGGCUUCCGGAGCUAACGCGUUAAAUCGACCGCCUGGGGAGUACGGCCGCAAGGUUAAAACUCAAAUGAAUUGACGGGGGCCCGCACAAGCGGUGGAGCAUGUGGUUUAAUUCGAUGCAACGCGAAGAACCUUACCUGGUCUUGACAUCCACAGAACUUUCCAGAGAUGGAUUGGUGCCUUCGGGAACUGUGAGACAGGUGCUGCAUGGCUGUCGUCAGCUCGUGUUGUGAAAUGUUGGGUUAAGUCCCGCAACGAGCGCAACCCUUAUCCUUUGUUGCCAGCGGUUCGGCCGGGAACUCAAAGGAGACUGCCAGUGAUAAACUGGAGGAAGGUGGGGAUGACGUCAAGUCAUCAUGGCCCUUACGACCAGGGCUACACACGUGCUACAAUGGCAUAUACAAAGAGAAGCGACCUCGCGAGAGCAAGCGGACCUCAUAAAGUAUGUCGUAGUCCGGAUUGGAGUCUGCAACUCGACUCCAUGAAGUCGGAAUCGCUAGUAAUCGUAGAUCAGAAUGCUACGGUGAAUACGUUCCCGGGCCUUGUACACACCGCCCGUCACACCAUGGGAGUGGGUUGCAAAAGAAGUAGGUAGCUUAACCUUCGGGAGGGCGCUUACCACUUUGUGAUUCAUGACUGGGGUGAAGUCGUAACAAGGUAACCGUAGGGGAACCUGCGGUUG
rnacentral:rRNA from 1 species